GACGAACGCUGGCGGCGUGCCUAAUACAUGCAAGUAGAACGCACAGUUUAUACCGUAGCUUGCUACACCAUAGACUGUGAGUUGCGAACGGGUGAGUAACGCGUAGGUAACCUGCCUGGUAGCGGGGGAUAACUAUUGGAAACGAUAGCUAAUACCGCAUAAUAUUGAUUAUUGCAUGAUAAUUGAUUGAAGGAUGCUAUUGCAUCACUACCAGAUGGACCUGCGUUGUAUUAGCUAGUAGGUGAGGUAACGGCUCACCUAGGCGACGAUACAUAGCCGACCUGAGAGGGUGAUCGGCCACACUGGGACUGAGACACGGCCCAGACUCCUACGGGAGGCAGCAGUAGGGAAUCUACGGCAAUGGACGAAAGUCUGACCGAGCAACGCCGCGUGAGUGAAGAAGGUUUUCGGAUCGUAAAGCUCUGUUGUAAGAGAAGAACGGGUGUGAGAGUGGAAAGUUCACACUGUGACGGUAUCUUACCAGAAAGGGACGGCUAACUACGUG
rnacentral:rRNA from 1 species